rnacentral:rRNA from 1 species
CCUACGGGUGGCAGCAGUGGGGAAUAUUGCACAAUGGGCGAAAGCCUGAUGCAGCGACGCCGCGUGACGGAAGAAGGGUUUCGGAUCGUAAACUUCUGUCAGCAGGGACGAACGAAAUAACUGUACCUGAAUAAUGAACCCACGCUAACUACGUGCCAACAGCCGCGGUAAUACGUAGGGGGCAAGCGUUAUCCGGAAUUACUGGGUGUAAAGGUUGAGUAGGCGGAAUGGUAAGCCAGAUGUGAAAGCCUUGGGCUUAACACGGGGAUUGCAUUUGGAACUAUCAAGCUAGAGUACAGGAGAGGAAAGCGGAAUUCCGAGUGUAGCGGUGAAAUGCGUAGAUAUCAGGAAGAACACCAGUGGCGAAGGCGGCUUUCUGGACUGAAACUGACGCUGAGGCACGAAAGCGUGGGGAGCGAACAGGAUUAGAUACCCCUGUAGUC